rnacentral:rRNA from 1 species
GUUGUUGCUGGCCCCCGAACGGGGCAUGUGCACGCUCUGUUUACACAUCCACUCACACCUGUGCACCCUCUGUAGUUCUGUGGACCGGGAGACGUUGUCUUCCUUCCGUAGCUCUACGUCUUUACACACACACCGUAGCGAUGUCUCAUGGAAUGUUUUUUCGCGUUUAACGCAAUACAAUACAACUUUCAGCAACGGAUCUCUUGGCUCUCGCAUCGAUGAAGAACGCAGCGAAAUGCGAUAAGUAAUGUGAAUUGCAGAAUUCAGUGAAUCAUCGAAUCUUUGAACGCACCUUGCGCCCCUUGGUUAUUCCUUGGAGCAUGCCUGUUUGAGUAUCAUGAACACCUCAACUCUCAUGGUCUUCCAUGAUGAGCUUGGACUUUGGGGGUUUGCUGGCCUUGUGGCCAGCUCCUCUCAAAUGAAUCAGCUUGCCAGUGUUUGGCGGCGUCACGGGUGUGAUAACUAUCUACGCUCGCGGUUGUCCGUCAGGUAACCCUCAGCGAUGAAGGUUCAUUGGGGCUCAUAAACGUCUCUCCCCAGCGAGGACAACUUUUGAACGUUCGAUCUCAAAUCAGGUAGGACUACCCGCUGAACUUAAGCAUAUCAAUAAGCGGAGGAAAGAAACUAACAAGGAUUCCCCUAGUAACUGCGAGUGAAGCGGGAAGAGCUCAAAUUUAAAAUCUGGCGUGCCUUUGGUCGUCCRAAUUGUAGUCUGGAAAAGCGUUUUCCGUGCUGGACCGUGUACAAGUCUCCU